rnacentral:misc_RNA from 1 species
CGUACAGACUACGUCGCCUCCAUAUCGCAGUGGGUGGUUUGCUCAUCCCCUUGCUCCACACACACACACACAGACACACACACGCAGUUUUGUCUCCCGCUCUCUUCCCCCUCCCUCCUCCUCUUUGUCUCUUAUCCUGCAGGGUAUCGCACAGGCACUGGUGCUCUCUCUUUUUUUCGCCUUCACGUUUUGGGUGCUUUUCUCACUUCAUUGUGGACGCGCCUCACUCGAGCCCCUUUUUUUUUCUGCUAUUUGCUCGGUUUUGACUCUGCUCUCUCGUGGCGCGCCUCGCACAAGGCGUUUUCUUGAUAUUGUGCGUUUCACCGCUGCCUGCACGCCUCUCUCUUCGUUCUCUGCUUCACAUACUUAUCAAGGUACCUCGAGCUCGCUCACCCAUUCUCCGCAUACACCCCCUCUCACCUCCGCCGUCUGCCCGCCCGUGGGUCUUCACACCUUUGCGACGCUUCCCUCCUCCUCGUUGGAGAGGGUGGCUGCAUCGUCAUCCUGCCUAGAACACCGCACUACUUUGGGUCGAUUGUUCUCUACUUCCCUUUUUUCUCUUUUUUUUGUUAUGCUGCUGUUAUUUCACACUUUUCAUUCUCGCGUCGCCGUCGCCGCCUUUGCGUUGUGGGGGCGCCCUACUGAAGCAUCGUCCAAACACCCAGAAAGUAAAUAGAAGCACAGUACAACACCUUUUUCACCGUCCUCUGGCUGAGUCUUGGAUUCCUUCGCACGGGAGCAGGACGAGCUGCUCGAAAAGGGCUCGGACAAAAAAAAACCAUUUCCCCCUUUUUUUCCUUCGUCAUCUUUGACGGGUUCUGCACUGUCUUCUUCGCUUGCUCCUCCUUUCCUUUUUUUCUUCUUUCGCCCCUCCCCGAUUGCGGGUCGGCGCACGCGUAGGUUUCAGCGGCCGCGUCUGCUUUGCCUCGUCUCCGUUCCAAAAAAAAAAAGCAAGGCAACUCACUGCUUUGCAGGGCUCUACGUAUGUUGGCCGAGCGAGCCGUAGACACGCUCUCUUCUUUCGGUUUCCUUUUGGUGUUUUCUUUCUUGAUUUUACGGAAGUAUUCUCCUGACGGUGGAGGCGCAGAGGAAGGCAGCAUCAGUAGUGCCCAGAGGCGUGGCAGGAGAGCAGGUUAUCGCCGUAUCACAAAAAAGACAGGGCGAGGCCACGGAGUCGAGAAAACGGGGGAAAACAUACAGGCAAGCACGGAAAGUGAAAGAUCUUUUAUUUUUUUUCUUCUCCUCUUUGAGCUGAAUUUCUGCUCCGUGACGCAGCGGAAAGUUUUUUGCUAUUUUUUUUUGUAAACGAAGCGCAUGAACAAAAAGAAAACACACAUAAGCGACAGCGCAGCGUUUCAUCAAGACAUCCUAGCCUCUUUCUUGAGCAACACAGAUACCUUCUCUUCAGUGCGUUCCCACUGUUCCGCAACAUCGUACCACCUCUCACUGGGGCUUGGUCUUGCCUGUCUCUCUACAACCUCACUCUUUCUUUUUUUUUUUUCCGUCUCUUUGAACACCAUUCUUAGGGCCGCGAGCUCAGCACCGUGGAUCUAUUUUGCUCACCGCUCUUACUUUUCACCUCUCUCUACUUUCUUUUUCAGUUUUUUUUUUCGUUUUCUGCAUCGACGUUCUUCUCUUUCCUCUGAUGAGAUAUCUGUCGCUCGUUCCGUGUGUCUUGUGAGAGGGUGUGCCGCUCGCUUCCUCUCUCCGAGGGCUCCCUCGUCUCACACAACCAUCUCAAACGCAUCAGUGCAUAUUCUUUUUUUGUUUUCUUUCUGGAGUCACUCGUUCUCUCGUUCACCUUCGUUCUGUGCUUCGGGUACGAAGAAAGGCGAAGUACGCACACACGCACACGCCGUAACAACAACAAACACAAUAGAGCUACCCAUUUUUGGAGCUCUCUGCUAUACCGCUGGUUUCGCUAUCGCUUUGCUCGACACGCACGGUCUCACUCACUCGCUUCUCGCUCCGUUAUAUAGAUCGAUAUAUUUCUGUGCCUCUCCUUCAUAUUGUCGUCUCUCCACCGGAGCUCGCUUCCUUCUCUUCCCUCAGCAUUCACUCUCCCUCUUUCAGUUUGGGACUUGGGGGAGGUUCAAGUUAUACUGCUUACUUUACUUCUUUGUAUUCUUUUUUUUUUCGUUUGUGUGUGCGUGUUUUUUUUUUUGCGGGCUUCUUGUGUGGAUGCACCCUAUUUUAGAAUCCUUCUCCGCUUCUUCGCUACACCAUGACCACCACUACCUCCUCUUCCUCCUUUUUUUCUCUCUCUCACUUUCUCAUUUGCGCCGUCCCUCUUUCUGUUCAGGCUCAAGAACGGGCGAACCAAAGGAAAAAGGGAGACUCCACCCCCUGCUCCUUCUCCUUCUUUACUCUCCUUGAUUGGGCAAGGGGUGUACACCAUCACAGCCGGAACUAAUGCUGAGUAGAGUAAAAACAAAGGCUGGGGUGCGGAAGGGAACGAAAAGCGAAACGGAGUAAGCACACACACACACACACACACACACACGCCGAGUACGCUUCAGCGUCUUGCAGCUAGUUUCACUCACAUUUUUUUUUCGUUUUCUCUUUCAUCCGUUGUUCGUUUCAGUGCGUGCGUGUUUGGUGUCGUCGCGGCUUCUCUUUCUUUCUCCCUCCCUCCGCGUAGAAGCGUUACUCUUUUUUUUCUCCAUCUCGUGGCGUUAUCCUCCCUUAUUCCUUCUUUACUUUUCUGCAGUUUCUCUCGGAGUAAGGCUGUGCGUGUGAGUGUAUUUUUCUGUAUUGUGAGAUGUGCUCGCGUGUGUAUGCUUACCUUUGCUGCGGAUAUUUUUUGCGUUGUUGUGGUGCUUCCACCUGCCUGCUGUCGACUACGCCGCCUCCGUGACACACUUCGUUGCACUCGCUUUCUUUUCGCAUUGCUCUCCUGAACCACGAGUCGCCUCCAUCAUCAUUUCCAGGGUAUCCACGGCGCCUCAGCUCAUAGAGCGGCUCAUCAUGAUUCAGUGCGAUCGCGCGCCUCCACAGCUGCUUGUCCGUGGGGAACAAAUCCGUGCCGUGCUCACUGAGGUGCGCGAGAUCUUCAUGUCGCAGCCAAUGCUCCUCGAGAUCCGCCCGCCUGUGCGCGUGUGUGGCGACACGCACGGACAGUACUACGACCUGCUGCGCAUCUACGAGAAGUGCGGCUUCCCCCCAUACUCGAACUACCUGUUCCUCGGCGACUACGUUGACCGCGGCAAGCAGAGCGUCGAGACGAUCGUCCUGCAGUUCUGCUACAAGAUUGUGUACCCCGAGAACUUCUUUCUUCUGCGCGGCAACCACGAGUGCGCUAGCAUCAACAAGAUGUACGGGUUUUUCGAUGAUGUGAAGCGGCGGUAUAACAUCAAGCUGUUCAAGGCGUUCACGGACGUGUUCAACACGAUGCCCGUGUGCUGCGUGAUUAGCGAGAAGAUCAUCUGCAUGCACGGUGGCCUUAGUCCUGACCUGACCGAUCUUACCGCCAUUAACGAGAUUCUUCGUCCGUGCGACGUGCCUGAUCGCGGCAUCCUGUGCGAUCUGCUGUGGGCCGAUCCAGAAAACGAAGUUCGCGGCUUCCUGGAGAGCGACCGCGGCGUGAGCUACCUGUUCGGCGAGGACAUUGUGAACGACUUCCUGGAUAUGGUGGACAUGGACCUGAUUGUGCGCGCGCAUCAAGUUGUGCAACGUGGCUACGAGUUCUUUGCGAGCCGUCAGCUUGUGACCGUGUUCUCUGCGCCGAACUACUGCGGUGAGUUCGACAACGACGCUGCCGUGAUGACCAUCGACGACAAGCUGCAGUGCUCCUUCCUCAUCAUUCCGGCUGCCAAGUAGUGACGGAGCGGCACCACCGGGCCCCAAAAGAUGCUGACGCGGCCUGUUUGAAUAAUUUUUUGUCUGUUAUUUCACCUGCAUCCGCCUCCUCGGGCUCUUGAUAUGAGGCCGCACACGGGAGAGUGCUCAUCCCUUUCUCUCACUUCUGUAAGUUCUUGUGUUGCCCGUUGCUUCCUGUUUUUUCGGCUUGAUGAUAUCGACCGCGGUUACGAGAGACACCUUGGCAUGGUAUCACAGGUUCCCGUACCCGGUGUGUGUGUGCGUGGAGAAGCCGGGCAGCCCCCUCCCCUCCUGUGCUUGCGAAAUGCCGAGCGGCUUCUGGCGGUGACAGGGUCUGGUGACUGCGACGUGGGGAGGUCAGAGCGAUGCAUUGCUACUGAUGUCGGCAGUGAGGUCGUGGGCGGCGUUGCGUCGGAGCGACCCGCGCCGCUGAACGCGUCGGCGCCAUCGACAUGAUGGGCGAAGUGCCAGCGUGACUGGAAGGCGUCGCAGCCGGCCCUCACACUGCCCGCUGGUGUGUGUGGCGGGGGGCCUGGGGCAGCGCACGAGGGGGUGCGCGAGGUGGUGGCGUGCGUGAUGGGUGCGGCUGUGAGGCGACCUGCGAGGCCGGGGCGGUGCUGAGGUGACUGCGUGUGUGCGCAUUGCUGUGAGGCAUGCGUCUCUGGCUGCAUUGCACCACGCGGGGUGCGCCUGUGGCAGGGCCGGGGAGGGCUGGAGUGGGGCUUGACUCCUGUUGUAUGGCCGGGAGGAUGGGCUCACGCUGAGGCAAGAGCAAACAUAUCCGUGCCGUUGUUCUCUGUAUAACGCAGACACGUACACACACACGAGAUAGAGACAAAGACAGAGACAGAGUUUAUCGGCGUAUCAAUUGUUUGGUUUGGGGUCAGAGGGGGGUUUUAUGCGUUGUGGCGUGUUUUCUAAGUUUGCACGUGUAGUGUGCUCAGAGCCGCGGACGGCCCUGGCGUCUUUUCCCCCUUUCGCGUUUGUGUUUUGCCAUUGCUGUUGUUUUCGUUCUUACUGGACGUUCUUAACCGUGAAGGGGCUCGCACAGCGAGUGUCAUCUUGUUUUUGAUGGAGCUGGUGCCUUUCACGCCUCGUUAUCAUUUUCGCUUAUGCCACCCUCUCUCAUGGAUGCGCCUUCUUAUCUCGGCAGCGUUUAGCGGUUUUGUGUCGCCGGCAUGCUCCCGCUGCACGAAUUUCCGGAAGUUCAAACAGAGGACAGGCAGACCUAAAAGAAGAAAUAAACGCGAAGAAGAGCAGGGUCUUUGACAAGCAUUGAGAGGAGGCGGGGAGGGGGCCGUACGGGAAAGGAGAUGAAGGGUGCAAUCUCCACUUUUGCUGUCUCUCGCUUUUUUUUUGCCACAAAUGAGCGUGGGGCAUGGCGUUUUGUGCGAUGGUAAUCUUGUGGACAUGCUUGCUCUGUGGGUGUCUGUGUUGUUCGUGAACAGGUCACUGCCGGAGGUGUGACUGAAAAGAGGGAUACAGACGGCGUGUCGUCGCUGACAACAUCAACGCCUACUUGGAUCAACGUAAAGCAACCUUGGCUGCAUCUUAGGAAAACAGUCAUGCGCACUCUUUCGUUGUUGUCACCCUCCGACUGCGGUGAUUCGAUAUUUUUGCGUCUGGGAGACUGCGUACUCAGUGCCGUGGUUUAACAGUCUUUUUUUUUUCAAAUGUGUUCUCGCCAUCUAUCUGCCUUUUCUGUUGAUGUCACCGCCGUUGCCCGCAAGCGCGCUCAAGCCGGCACGCAGAGACGACUGCAGCUACCACGUGACGCUUUCUCUGUUCUCGUGUAUGCACGGGUGUGACCUUUUGGCUGAUUGAACGAUGUCGUCAUUCUUGGCCCUCUCCCCGCCAGCUGCUCCGUUUCUCUCGUCGCAUCUCCUCCUCCUUCUUUCAUUGAACAGCUGGUGCGUGCUCUUCGAUACAUACCUCCCUGUGACGUUGUCGGGAUGCAUGCAGGUAUGCGUGUCUGCUUGGGGGUUUUGUGCUGGCCCUUGUUGCGUUACUCCGUCAGAUCACCUAUUCCUUUGGCUUGUCUCUCUCCCCUCCCCUAAG